rnacentral:tRNA from 1 species
CUCUAGCUUAAAAUUAAAGCAUAGUAUUGAAAAUACUGAAAUAAUAUGUACAUAUUAGAA